UAUCGCAUUAGCCCAGUGGC
rnacentral:siRNA from 1 species